GUAUAUAGUCUUUGUUGGCUAUUUAGAAUAGUUGUAGGGUUAGUGUAUUUGUUUCUUUUGAUUAUAUUAUGGAUUUUGUGGAUUAGAUAGUGAUGAGGACUUUGAUAUUGUGAAAAUCCUUCAACAUGAACGAAGGCCCUACGUAGUGAGGGAAAGAGUCGAUAAUUUUGAGAAAUGGGAUGAGCAUAACUUUCAUGCAAGAUUCAGAAUGAAGAAAGAUACUGUAUUGUUUAUAUUAGAGCAAAUUGAGGAAUCACUUGUAUCCCAAACUGAUAGAAAUAAUAGUAUUAGACCCAUACAUCAAUUCUUACUAACACUUAGAUUUUAUGCAACUGGCAAAUUUUUUAUAUCCUCUGGAGACUUCUGCAAUGUAAGCAAAAGUUCUGCAUCAAAAAUCAUAAAAAAAGUGUAUCAUGCUAUUGCAUCUUUGUCACAAAGAUAUAUAUGAAUGCCACAAGGAAAAGAAAUUACUAUAGCGCAGAGAAAUUUCUAUAUGAAGGCAAGACUUCCAAGGGUUAUUGGAAGUAUUGAUUGUGCACAUGUUGGCAUCUUAUCACCAGGAUGUGAAGUUAGUGCAUCAACAAGUGCUGUCCUGUAGAAGUUCCAAUAGGGCUAAUGGAUGUAAAAACUUGGGUUAGGCUGUGUAUUGAAAUAUAUGCAAGAUUUAAAUGACAAAGCUGACUCUCCAAUAGACGUCGUCUUUUACAGCGAUAAUUGUUGUGGACAACAAAAAAACAACUUUAUGAUGGCAAUGUACAAAUAUGCUGUUUCAACAUUAAAAAGCAUAGAAUCUAUCCAACACAAAUUUUUAAUAAAGGGUCGCACCCAAAACGAAGGGGAUUCGGCUCACUCAACCAUUGAAAAAGAAGUUAAAAGAGCACUCAGAAGCGGACUGAUAUACUUACCUUCCCAAUACGCCAUGGCCAUGAAAAUGGCAAAGAAAAGUGGCAAGCCUUACUUGAUUCAUGAGUUGAGUCAUAAGGACUUUUUUGACAUAAAAGCUCUGGAGAAAUCUCAAGUAAUUUUACCCAUGUCAGACAUUCGAAUGUUUAAAGUAAUUAAAGACGACAGCGACUUUUACUUCAAAACAUCCUACUGAUCAAAUGCCUGAGAGGAGGCGAAGAAAAGGUAUAAACGGGGUAAUGGGAACGUGAAUUCUGUCUUGAUGCAAGCUUAUUCCAAGAAACUUACCAUUGAUGAGAAGAAGAAACAGGGUAUCCUAAAGUUAGUUACCGUUGGGAUAAUACCAUCAAUUUAUUCAGAUUUCUAUAAAAAUUUGUGAAACUUUGAAGUUGUUCUUCAAAAAAAGUUGUAAACAAUAAAUUAUUUUUUCAUUAACAAA